rnacentral:lncRNA from 1 species
UUGAAUCUGGUCACAAAAUCUCUUUCAUGUAUAAUAAUCUGUAAACAAUACAUUAAUUGCUACACCACCAUUGAAAACAAAUAAACAAAUGGAAAUAACAGGUAAAUUCUUUUCUUGAUCUCCAAUAAUUUACAUCAUUUUUACCCACCCAGAAGAAAUAUUUUUUUCAAUUCAUGGCAAGUAAACAGUAACAAGAUCUGUCUACAAGAUUUCUGACCCAUCUGAUCUCAACAUCUUGCAAUGAACAAAAAUUAUAUGAUCCAAAAUGAUUCCAUUAGCCUAUUGAAAGUUUUUAUUCAGCAGGAAAAUGCAUCUGGUGGUUUAAAAGGAACCAAAAGCAAAUUCCACUUUUCAGGCAACUCAAUCUUCAACCUCUCUGUUACACCCAUGGCUUGUGAAGAAUCAGCAGCGUGCUGGACAGAUUUCUUCUCUACUUAUAUCACAAAGGAAACAAAUAUUGUUUACCCCACCUUAUCAAACAUGCCAAUAUAGUUCAUGAACUAUAAAGCGUAUCGACUACUACAUAUAAAUAAGCAGAAAAGAUCGAGUGGAGAACAGAAGCAAUUGGUUACAAAGGGAGCAAUCACUGAGUUGAAAAAAUCGAAAUACUGAAUAAGGGGGAAUCCUAUGAAUAAUACCUCCGCAACCUUGCAACAAUACUGUACAGUAUUUUCUCCUGAUAUUAAGGGUAUUUGCAUUCGAACGUUAUCCUGGUUCAUUUGGUUCAGUUCUAUUAGAAGUUCCGGUACAUGCCUACAUGG